rnacentral:rRNA from 1 species
UACGUAGGGGGCAAGCGUUGUCCGGAUUUAUUGGGCGUAAAGAGCGUGUAGGCGGCCAGGUAGGUCCGUUGUGAAAACUGGAGGCUUAACCUCCAGCUGUCGAUGGAAACCAUCUGGCUAGAGUCCGGAAGAGGAGAGUGGAAUUCCUGGUGUAGCGGUGAAAUGCGCAGAUAUCAGGAAGAACACCCGUGGCGAAGGCGGCUCUCUGGGACGGUACUGACGCUGAGACGCGAAAGCGUGGGGAGCAAACGGG